rnacentral:lncRNA from 1 species
AUUAAAAACUCUCUUGAGUCCCUACUGUCAUCAGUAAGUUAAAUCUCCAUUACAACUACACCGUCCUAACAUCCUACUCCAUCCGGUGCAGUCUAUUUCCUAGAUUGUGGGUAAGGAAGCAAAAGUGGACUUGUGUACAUUUGGUUUGGGCCACAUCUACACAACGCUUUCAACAAUUGGUUCAUUCUGUAAUUCAGCGAAAAACAGAGGGAGGAACGAGAUGGCUUGAUUUGGAGUGGAAUCUACCACGAGAGCAAUUCACUGUGGCUAAGAGAAUGGAGUCCCACCAAAAAUAAGGCCACCUUGGGCAGUGACAAGAUUUUCGGGUGCUGGAGUGGCCUCAGGAGCUCUGUUCGAUUACAAGAACCUCAGUGAGCCUGCCCACAAGCUGAACGUAUUAGCAUUUUCUAAUGCUACUCCAGGUUGGUCCCUGAGCUGUUGGGGACCUGUUUCUCACGCUCAGUGGAAACCCCCUCACCCACUUGAUUUGAGUCCACUGCCUGUCCUGAGCAUUGGUGAUGCUCAGCCUUGGAAGAAGCAGAGAAUGGGAAGAGAGAGUCUACCCAGAUGGAUGGCUCCAUUCUGCCCUCUCUCACUUGGCCAGAAGCUCUUCUCGUGUUUAAUUAUGGUGAAGGGAUCACAGUCUUUCUUCUCUCCUCUUUUACCUCUAUCAACCACUGCCCUUUGACGUUUGGAGUUUGUAGCAAUAUUUCCCCCUCCAAGUGCAACGUCACACUCACACCUCAGUGGGUCCUUCCAAAAAGCCCAUAGUUAAGCAUGUAUCAACCUUGUCAAUGGUUCCCUACACUCAGCAGAGUAAGUUACAUUUGAUUUUAAUCUUUUUAUGAAUGUAUGUUGUGGUAGUCUUGUCCUGCAUACCACAGGAACCUCUCUCUCUCUCUCUCUCUCUCUCUCUCUCUCUCUCUCUCUCUCUCCCCAGAUAUUGCUAUGGGCAAAGAACUGAAAACUUCCAUUGAGUGAAAAAUAGAUUUCUUGGGACAUAAAUAAAUAAAUAAAUA